UGCCUGAGGUUUAAACACAUCUGUUUCCUUUAUGUAAAGUGGGGCUUAGUAAUAGUCCCAAUCUUAUUUGUAUCUCUAGAAGUUGCUGUGUGAACCACAUGAGGACCAUGUGUAUGAAGGCACUUUGUAAAAUGCCAAGCCCUUCAUAAUGUAUUAACAGGACCAAGUAUCUGCAAAUAAGACUUCUGGCACAACUGCUACAAGGUAUGACUGCAAAACUAAGCCUGGGGUGCCACCUAUUGGUUGCCAAUAUAAAUUGCACCCAACCAGUUGCAACAAGAGCAAAGAAAGCAAUCACCACCAGUCCAACUUUAAACCACCUUAAUUUUUGCCAUGCCCCUCAUGCCAUAUUAUAUACUUAAUAUUUUCUUUAAACAAUGCAUUUUGUAUAAAUAAUUUCAUUUUAAAGUAAACUUUUAAUCCCUACUAUAAAUGAAAACCAGCUAGCACUUGCCAAAAAUA